GGGGGGAGCACAGGAUCCUGGGCUGUGUCCCCUGGCACCCUGGGAUCCGGGGCCUGCGCUGCUGGAAUUGCACUUCUGGGGCCCCCCC
rnacentral:pre_miRNA from 1 species